CAGCCGCCACGGUAAUACGAAGGGGGCUAGCGUUGUUCGGAAUUACUGGGCGUAAAGGGCGCGUAGGCGGCGGAUCAAGUCAGGCGUGAAAGCCCCGGGCUCAACCUGGGAAUUGCGCUUGGGACUGGUCUGCUUGAGUUCGGGAGAGGUGAGUGGAAUUCCCAGUGUAGAGGUGAAAUUCGUAGAUAUUGGGAAGAACACCGGUGGCGAAGGCGGCUCACUGGACCGACACUGACGCUGAGGCGCGAAAGCGUGGGGAGCAAACAGGAUUAGAUACCCGCGUAGUCCCUGUCUCUUAUAA
rnacentral:rRNA from 1 species